GCAAAAGUGGCUUCUCCCGAUGACCUCCGUAUUUGCCCUCUGUCCGUCAUGCCGUCCGACCGUGCUGUGGCCGUGUGUGCCGGGGUCUCCUUCUGUCUGGGUUUCUUUCUCGGCUGGAAGUCCAACUCUUGGUACAGGAAGUACCUGAAGUGGAAGAGGGACCGUCUGCACUCCAAACUCGUAGACACACAGAAGAGAAUAGACAUCUCCUAGCGGUUCGCCUGGCGCUCGGUGUGGGAGGGGGGCUGCGCUGGUGGACUGGUGGUGCUAUUUCCGGGUCGAUUUCCUGGAUCCGUGGACGUCGCAAGUGGGCUGCUUAAACUUCACUAAUUGUGUGACAUUAGGUUCCCAGAGAGGCUGAGCUUAGACACUGUGCCGGACAGGGAGCUGGAAGAAAAUCCAUGAAGUUGCCAUGGAUUGACUUGGAUUCAAAAGCAGCGCCUCCUAGCGAUUUUAGCCUGUACAUCAAAGAUACAGCUUCCAUCGAGAAUUACGAACAACUGGAAGCUUUCCACUUUUUGCGAGAACUAUGUAGCUUGUGAAAUAAUGUGUUUAUUAUACUGUUAUCCACGUAAGUGUAGUGUUAAGAUUUUUGUCCAGAGAAAGGCAAAGCGAGCAGUGAUGUUUUGUGGAACAAGGGCAGGAUUUUCAGCAACAAGCACGUCUGAAUUAAAACCGAUUGGGCGAUUGCAACAAAAGCCCAACCUCUUUGAUAUAAUUAAACCUUAUUCAUGCUGAGUAGCAGUCAUAGGGUUCAUAAGGAUCAGGAAAAACUCAGGGUCUCACAGCUCUCCUACAAGCGAUAUAAUAUAUCAGAUAAAGUGUAAAGGGACAAGCUAUGCUUCGUUAAUCAUUUCUAUGAAAAUAAUCUUUUAUGCCGAAUUAGCCUGCAGCUGUAAGAAUGAAGAAGCAACAUAAGCUUUUCAAUAGCAUCAUGCUGACUCGUUUUAUUCAGUUUGUUGAUUUUCAAAUACUUCCUUCGCCCAAAAUCCCUCCUGUGCCUCCUGUAACAUGCAGGAAAUGUGUAGUUCUUGCUUUAUUAUUCUAAACUGUACUCAGCGAUAUCGUGCAUAAUAAAUCUCGGACAACUUUUCCCACCCAGUGGGAAUUUCUCAACCG